rnacentral:rRNA from 1 species
AACCUGGUUGAUCUUGCCAGUAGUCAUAUGCUUGUCUCAAAGAUUAAGCCAUGCAAGUGAAAGUAUAUAUAUAUUUUAUAUGUAGAAACUGCGAACGGCUCAUUAAAACAGUUAUAGUCUACUUGACAUUUUUAUUAUAAGGAUAACUACGGAAAAGCUGUAGCUAAUACUUGCUUUAUUAUCCUUUGAUUUUAUAUCUUAGGAUAAGUACUUGUUAGGCCUUAUAAGAAAAAAGUUAUUAACUUAAGGAAUUAUAACAAAGAAGUAACACGUAAUAAAUUUAUUUUAUUUAGUGUGUAUCAAUCGAGUUUCUGACCUAUCAGCUUUUGAUGUUAGGGUAUUGGCCUAACAUGGCUAUGACGGGUAACGGGGAAUUAGAGUUCGAUUCCGGAGAGGGAGCCUGAGAAAUAGCUACCACAUCUAAGGAAGGCAGCAGGCGCGUAAAUUACCCAAUUCUAAAGAAGAGAGGUAGUGACAAGAAAUAACAAUGCAAGGCCAAUUUUUGGUUUUGUAAUUGGAAUGGUGGGAAUUUAAAACCUUCCCAGAGUAACAAUUGGAGGGCAAGUCUGGUGCCAGCAGCCGCGGUAAUUCCAGCUCCAAUAGCGUAUAUUAAAAUUGUUGCAGUUAAAACGCUCGUAGUUGAAUUUCAAAGAAUCGAUAUUUUAUUGUAACUAUAUUAGGGGAACUAUUUUAGCUUCGCGCUUUAAUACGCUUCCUCUAUUAUUAUGUUCUUUAAAUAACAAAGAUUCUUUUUAAAAUCCCCACUUUGCUUUUAUGCUUUUUGGGGAUUUUGUUACUUUGAGUAAAUUAGAGUGUUCAAAGCAAACAGUUAAAGCAUUUUACUGUGUUUGAAUACUAUAGCAUGGAAUAACAAAAUUGAACAGGCUGAAAUUUUUUGUUCUUUUUUCUUAUUUUGGCUUAGUUACGAUUAGUAGGAGUAGCUUGGGGACAUUCGUAUUCGGAUGUCAGAGGUGAAAUUCUUAGAUUUUCUGGAGACGAACAACUGCGAAAGCAUUUGUCUAAAAUACUUCCAUUAAUCAAGAACGAAAGUUAAGGGAGUGAAGACGAUCAGAUACCGUCGUAAUCUUAACCAUAAACUAUGCCGACUAGGUGUUGGAUGAAAGUGUUAAAAAUAAAAGUCAUCUUUCGAGGUGACUUUUAGAUUGCUUCCUUCAGUACCUUAUGAGAAAUCAAAGUCUUUGGGUUCUGGGGCGAGUAUUCGCGCAAGCGAGAAAGUUAAAAGAAUUGACGGAAGGGCACCACCAGGCGUGGAGCUUGCGGCUUAAUUUGACUCAACACGGGGAAACUCACUAGUUUAAGACAAGAGUAGGAUUGACAGGUUAAUAGCUCUUUCUUGAUUUCUUGGAUGGUGAUGCAUGGCCGUUUUUAGUUUGUGAAUAUGAUUUGUCUGGUUAAUUCCGAUAACGAACGAGAUCUUAACCUGCUAAUUAGCGGUAAGUACGCUAUAUUCUUAAUUGAAAUUGAAUAUAGGUAAUUAUACAUUUAUUCAGUGAUCAAAUUAGGAUAUUUUUAUUAAAAUAUCCUUUUCCCUGUUCUACUAAUAAUUUGUUUUUUACUCUAUUUCUCUCUUCUUUUAAGAAUGUACUUGCUUGAUUGUAAAGCUUCUUAGAGGAACAUUGUGUGUCUAACACAAGGAAGUUUAAGGCAACAACAGGUCUGUGAUGUCCUUAGAUGAACUAGGCUGCACGCGUGCUACACUGAUAUAUAUAACGAGUUAUUAAAAAUAUGCAUUUAUUUGUAUCUUUGAUGCUUAUAUUUUGCAUACUUUUCCUCCGCCGAAAGGCGUAGGUAAUCUUUAUCAAUAUAUAUCGUGAUGGGGAUAGAUUAUUGCAAUUAUUAAUCUUGAACGAGGAAUGCCUAGUAAGCAUGAUUCAUCAGAUUGUGCUGACUACGUCCCUGCCCUUUGUACACACCGCCCGUCGCUCCUACCGAUUGAAAGAUAUGAUGAAUUGUUUGGACAAGAAAAAUGGAAUUAUAUUCUUUUUUUUCUGGAAAAACCGUAAAUCCUAUCUUUUAAAGGAAGGAGAAGUCGUAACAAGGUUUCC